GCCCGAGUAGCUCAGUGGUAGAGCAACGCUUUCGUAAAGCGUAGGUCGUCGGUCCGAAUCCGACCUUGGGCU
rnacentral:tRNA from 1 species